UUAGACCCCUCUGACAUUGAGCAGUCAAUUGUGACAUGACUUUGGACAUAUGGCUAUUCUGCCAGUAACUUUUAUGUACAUAUCCUCACAAAUGUCUUUAAACAAAGAGGAGGAGACGUGGUGUAGAGGUUAGCGCAGUUUCCUGGAGUGAGAGGGAGGUCCUUGGUUUGAAUCUCCUUCCAGGGAACCUGGCAGCACUGAUUACAUCUCUAGGGCCACAUCACUAAGCUAGCGACCAGGAAGCUCAUUUGCCCAGCGUUCCGCUUUUCCCUCUCAAGAACUUCCGCUCUUUUGUGAAUUGUGAGGCUGUUGCGUCGUUAAACAUUAUGGAGCAUCAGCAUCAGCAACAGCAACAACCAGCACCACCUCCGCAACAACCGGAGCCACAACUCCUCCCGCAGCAUUUGGUAUAUACGUUUUUCCCAAUUUAAGGAGGAAUCGAUGGGCACUUUGGCUGGACAGGAGUGCCUGGUCGUUGCAAAGGUGAUGCGGUUUCUGACUACCCUGGCCCUCAGUCCCAAACCACGAUCCAUUCCGUCGCGAGAGGGCCGAAGCAGCAUUACAAUGUGCCCAAGUGCGGCAAGGGCCGCCGAAGAGGCCAAAAACAAAAGCCCCACCCCAACUUCUCUACUCGUCUCGAAUUUGACCCAAGGUCACUUUCAAACGGUCGAAGAAAUCAUGAGG